CGGGGAUUGCUCUCUCGCAUUCGAAGUUUUCUUCUGGAAUUAGCAUCGUUUCUUCCGCCGCGUACAGGUUAACGAAGUAGCGAAACACGUGUUGCUCAAUUUCGUUAGAGUCCAAGUGGGAUUCGCAAUACCCGGAAUUGAAUCUUGCGGAACAAUGGGGAUUCAUACAAGAAUACGUGGCAGCAUUCGCACCCGUUUCCGAGGCUACCAAAAAUAUACAAGUUGUGCAUACAUCGCUGCCGAACUUUUACCUAGUGUGGAUCAAAACUGUAAUGGAGGUCGGAAAAAUAAAAGAAAACCGUUUCACAGAGUCACUGUCCAUGGCAUUAUUCAGCAGGUUAAUACCACAAAAGGAAAACAUGGUCUUUAAAGCAGCUCUAUUGAUUGAUCCACGCUUCAAUUACCUCAACUCUUCAUUGUUUUCUAUCGACGAAAACGAAGAAGUUCGAAGAUUCAUCGUUGCAACAUGGAACAGAUUGAACAAUACUCGAAACCAAACCACGAAUCAGAUAGCUGUACCUGUUAAUGUUCAACUGCCGAGCAACCAGGAUGAUCCAAAUAUUAAUCUCGACGCUUUCCUAACAGAAAUGUUCGCUUCCUGAGCCAGGAGCCUCGCAAACAUCAGAAAACUCCUUCCUUCGACAGCUCAGUGCCUUGGAUUUUGAACCGCAUCAGAACCAUUCCUUUGAUCUAAGAAAACAUUGGCUCUCACGUAGAGGAACACAUCCUGAACUGUAUGAAAUUGCAAUGCUUUUACUCUCAGUACCAUCCAAUCAAGUCUCUGUGGAACGCUCUUUCAGUGCGCUGGGUCAGUUAUG